GGGGGCGACUGGUUUCGACAUGGUAGGUCUGACGUGAGGAGCAGGCCGUGGUCUCCUCGCCACGCUAAACAGGGGUACAGUCAAAUUAAUUGGCGAAAAGAACUACUCUGGGCGUUACGCCCUCGCUGCUUAAUUAAUUAGCGGCCGUCAACCUCGGAUCUUCCCCGCUCCGAGUGCGACGUCAUUUCAGGGGAAUGCUCUUGCGCAUGUAGCCGGUAUGGCGCAAGCUAAGAUCAAACCGACUCGAAUCGGCAACGUCUGUCAACGAACCGAGCCGCUUUUAAAUCCGAUCGCUGAAUAAGCUUGUAGAGCCUGACCGAGGAUCUAGUAUGGACCGGAGUUCGAUUCUCCGCGCCUCCACCA
rfam:Coriobacteriaceae bacterium 68-1-3, complete genome.